CCCCCACCUCAUCCCCUCUUUCCGGAUCCCCCGACCACCUCCCGUCGCUGCCCACUGACUCCGGCGCGGCUCCCGCCUCCGGCCCCUCGGCCCCAGCGCGCCACCCCUGCCGCCGCCCCCGACCCCGACGGGGACCUCCUGCCGCCGACCACCCGACCUCAACGCCCCCCGCUGUUGGCCACCGGAGCCGCCGCCCCCAGUCACGAGAUCUGCCGCCGGCGGCCUAGACCCUGCGCCACCUCUUCCCGUCGGCGCUCGUCUGCGAGCUCCCGCCUCCAUUGAGGGCACAUGGAUUUCUCAUGGUCGUUCGAAUAAAAAAUGACAGCCACAUCGCGGUGGCCGGCGGCUAGAAUGCAUGGUCAAAACUAAAGUCCGAGUGUUGCUAGCUAAGUGCAUUCAGAGUAAGACAUUUACACUUCUCUUCAGGAAGGCAUUUGUAAGUCUGGCCGUGGUUUUCCUUUUUCUUCAGGAAGACAUUUGCUUUGAAAAGGAACUGCGUCUCGUUAGUACACUUAUAUUCUUCUUCAGUAAAAAAAGAUGAAGUGCACUUAAUAAGGAAGGCCUGGGAUGCAUCCAUGUGGAAUUGUAUGAAAGAAGGAAGGAACGGUCUGGGUAGAUGAGCAGUUCAAGUUGAACUCUCCCCUACACACACUUUGAUUUUUAUUUACAAGUAUUCAAUUUUUAAAUGUUCUACAGUCUGUGAACAAAAUAGGAUCUUGUUUCAUCCACUGAUCCUGUUUACAGUCCUUGAUCAACAAUCACGGUUUAAUUUUUACAAUUUCUGCAUUACACGAAAAAUGAAGGUACCAUCCUAGCCAUGGUGAAAUCUUCCCCAUCCCUGAUGAACAGCGGCAAGCUCGAUUUACUACUCUCGUAGGUUUGCAAUCGUCCAAUGGAAAAGUUUUCAUUCCAAGUUUCCAUUCACAUGACAUUAUUUUUAUUGACAUUGUGGUAGGGAAAAAUAGUAUGUUUUCAUCAAAAAUCCCGAUAACUUAGGCGCUACUGUGGACAUGAGUAUCCUAUACGUAGACAUGAUAUUUAAUAUUUACUUUGAUAAAAAUUCCAAUUUUAAGAGAAAAGAAAGAUACCCUGCUUAUUUACUUAACUAUUACAUUGAGAUACUGAACCACUUGAUCCACAAACAGAAUGAAAAUUGCAUGGUAUCCUCAACGCUCAUGCCUGACCCUAACUGCUGUUCCCAAAGACCGCCUUGCAGUCGCCCCUGCCCAUGCGGCACUACCGUAACCUGCACCCUGCAAAAAAAUUGCAAGUUCAGAAUCAAAUAAACAAGAAGUUCAAAAAGAACAGAGGUACCGCCUUCACUCAUGUGCUUGCAAAAUAGCUUGGUUGUAGCUCGCAUGUUGUUUGCCAAUGAUCAAUAAACAUGUUUUGCCAGCGAUCUUUAGUUUCUUCAGUAGCUCAUAAACAAUUGCCAAAUGCUCAUAACUUCAUAAUCAUAAGUUGAUAGUUGGCCUACAGGGACAACCAUGCUGAUGGCGAUCGAAGAAGGAUGCAGAAAUAUUACUAUUGAGACUGAAGGCCAAGUUUUAUGCACGAUGUGGCAGGAUCCCAGGGAUUGUUCUGAGGCGGUCGAUGGCUUUCCAGAGAUGUGUUCGUACUCACAAGUUUGCAGGGGUUCAAAGAUCAGUUAUACAAGCAGGAAUGCCAAUUUGGUUACAUAUCUGUGUGCGAAAGAGGCACUGAAACUAGAUGUACUUGCUAUUUCUUUAUUUGUAACCCCUACCUACCUGAUUGAGAUGUGUUACAGCAGUUUGGAGUGUAUUUAUUUGGAAAGAAAAAGAACAACGGCACCUGCACCGGAGCAGCAGGACGACGCGCCCUCCCAGCGACGGCGCAGCAGCGCAUUCGCCGUCUAUGCACAUGUGUGUGUGCAGUGCACUUGAGGGAGCACUCCCCUGUUGCUAUUCUGCACCUACGCCUCCCCAUGUGGAUCCCGUUCUCUUCUCUCCUUUUUGUUGUGAGUUUAUAAAUUGAAGAUCAGUCAUAACAGCGGAAGAAAAAGUUUUAGAGAGUUUUUCGUAAAAAAUCAGAGAUGUUGUUCAGAUAGUGAUGGACUUUUCAUACAUGUUUAUGCUAGUUCAUGCUCGUUUGUA